GAUGAACGCUGGCGGCGUGCCUAAUACAUGCAAGUCGAGCGAAAGGAUUAAGAGCUUGCUCUUAUGAAGUUAGCGGCGGACGGGUGAGUAACACGUGGGUAACCUGCCCAUAAGAUUGGGAUAACUCCGGGAAACCGGGGCUAAUACCGGAUAACAUUUUGAACCGCAUGGUUCGAAAUUGAAAGGCGGCUUCGGCUGUCACUUAUGGAUGGACCAGCGUCGCAUUAGCUAGUUGGUGAGGUAACGGCUCACCAAGGCAACGAUGGGUAGCCGACCUGAGAGGGUGAUCGGCCACACUGGGACUGAGACACGGCCCAGACUCCUACGGGAGGCAGCAGUAGGGAAUCUUCCGCAAUGGACGAAAGUCUGACGGAGCAACGCCGCGUGAGUGAUGAAGGCUUUCGGGUCGUAAAACUCUGUUGUUAGGGAAGAACAAGUGCUAGUUGAAUAAGCUGACACCUUGACGGUACCUAACCAGAAAGCCACGGCUAACUACGUGCCAGCCGCCGCGGUAA
rnacentral:rRNA from 1 species